rnacentral:lncRNA from 1 species
UAAGUAAUAUUAACUUUAAUGGCCAACAGCUGGAGUAAAGUUCUUUCUCAAACAAACAGCAAUUUAACACCAAAAAAUAUUUUGCUUGUUGCUUCUAUAUUUGCAUCAACUGCAGCUGUUGUGUGUGGAUUUAGAUGGAGCAAAAAAACACCAAAGUGGAAAAAUGUUUACUCAAAACUGCAAUUAUCUGAUGAGAAUUUGAAAGCUAAUAAAGGUGCUGUAGACACAAAUUUUGUGUGG